CGAAGUCAAGCAUCAUUGGGCGCGGUCAGUACUUGGGUGGGUGACCACCUGGGAACACUGCGUGCCGUU